CAAAACGUUCCUUCUUCAUUAAACCCUAAUCUCCUUCUUCUUUUACGGUCGUUCACAGUCGACAAUCCAUACUCACAUCCAAAUCUAUUUCUCGAAGUCCUCACUCCUCAGCUACUAUCUUCUGCAACUAUGGCGGCCAACUACGAUUACGAGGAGGCUCCAGGCUCCUACGACGAUGUGAACCGCCAAGACCUUGGCUACGACCCGAACUUUGUCCCUGACUCCGUUAAGUCGUUCGUCGUCCACCUUUACCGUCACAUUCGUGAGAAAAAUGUGUACGAGAUUCACCAGAUGUACGAGAACUCGUUCCAAACGCUCUCCGACCGUCUCUUUAAAGAUACUCCGUGGCCCUCCGUCGAUGCGGUUUCUCAUUAUGUAGAUAACGACCAAGUAUUUUGCCUCCUUUACCGUGAGAUGUAGUUUCGCCACCUCUAUGCUCGCCUAUCCCCCACUCUUAAGCAGAGGAUUGAUUCUUGGGAUAAUUAUUGUAGCCUCUUUCAGGUGGUGUUGCAUAGGGUAGUUAACAUGCAGUUACCAAAUCAAAGGCCAUGGGACAUGGUGGAUGAAUUUGUAUACCAAUUCCAAAGUUUCUGUCAAUACAGGGUGAAAAUGAAGAACAAAACUGGGCAAGAAAUUGCUCUUCUCCACCAAUUUGACCAGGCAUGGAAUGUGUAUGGGGUGCUCAAUUACUUGCAAGCGUUUGUGGAGAAGUCAAAUAUUAUUCAGAUAUUGGAU